UGUGGCGGACGGGUGAGUAACGCCCUUAAAAUCUGCCUCUAGGUUGGGGACAACAGUUGGAAACGACUGCUAAUACCCGAUGUGCCGUAAGGUAAAAGAUUUAUUGCCUGGAGAGGAGCUCGCGUCUGAUUAGCUAGUUGGUGGGGUAAAAGCCCACCAAGGCAGCGAUCAGUAGCUGGUCUGAGAGGAUGAGCAGCCACACUGGGACUGAGACACGGCCCAGACUCCUACGGGAGGCAGCAGUGGGGAAUUUUCCGCAAUGGGCGAAAGCCUGACGGAGCAAUACCGCGUGAGGGAGGAAGGCCUUUGGGUUGUAAACCUCUUUUCUCAGGGAAGAAGAUCUGACGGUACCUGAGGAAUAAGCAUCGGCUAACUCCGUGCCAGCAGCCGCGGUGAUACGGAGGAUGCAAGCGUUAUCCGGAAUCAUUGGGCGUAAAGCGUCCGCAGGUGGUUUUUCAAGUCUGCUGUUAAAGACUGGAGCUCAACUCCGGAAAGGCAGUGGAAACUGGAAGACUAGAGUUCGGUAGGGGUAGCGGGAAUUCCCAGUGUAGCGGUGAAAUGCGUAGAUAUUGGGAAGAACAUCGGUGGCGAAGGCGCGCUACUGGACCGAAACUGACACUCAGGGACGAAAGCUAGGGGAGCGAAAGGGAUUAGAUACCCCUGUAGUCCUAGCUGUAAACGAUGGAAACUAGGUGUGGCUUGUAUCGACCCGAGCCGUGCCGUAGCUAACGCGUUAAGUUUCCCGCCUGGGGAGUACGCACGCAAGUGUGAAACUCAAAGGAAUUGACGGGG
rnacentral:rRNA from 1 species